rnacentral:tRNA from 1 species
GUGCUGGUGGCUCAGUGGUUAGAGUCCUGACCCAGCAUGCCCAAGUGUGCAGGUUCAAAUCCCAGCUCA